rnacentral:lncRNA from 1 species
GCGCCACCAGGCCGGCCUCGUUUUAUUCUUACGUGAUGUCUUCCGAAUCCAGCAUAAUUUCUGGCAAACGGUAGCAUUAACUACAUAGAUCGAAUAAUGUAUGGAUAAAUAACAUGCAUAUUUGGGAAAGAUUAAUCUGGUAUGUUGAAAUAAUUAAAAAUGAAAAACUACACAUGAACUUUUGAUAUAGGAGACUGAGAUAAAUAUCCGGAUAUACACUGAAGAUGACCAAGGAGAAGGUAGUCUAAGGAGUCACAGGAGAAAAGACAGACAUCUUUGGACUGAGUGUGUGAAAGUGAUUCGACUAAAAUUCACCAUGGAACAGUCAAGAUAUCACCAAUUCAGAAGUGGAUGCUUUCUGCUAAAAAUUACUUAUUUUUUACUACGUGCUUUUUGACCCAUCAGCAUAUCGACCAAUAAGUUUCAUAAAACUUUUCUUCCUCUUUUGCCCAAAUACCCAGGGACCCAAGCUCUUACACGUUUUUAAGCAUUGGCCUCAUCAAUCAUUUUGACAGCCAUUGGGCUGGAUCAGAGACCCAUAAAAAGUCACAUUAUGGAUGAAAAAACAACUCAGUAGAAAACUGUUGAAAAUGAAAAGUUUCCAUCAUUCUUACAUAGUCUACCUACUUGAAUUUUCAUGCUUCAACAGAAAAGAGAGAAGGAAAUCAGAAAGAGAACUUUUGAAGAUCUCUGAGAUGAGGCCCAGAUAUGACAACUGUGGUUUCAGCAGUUACAUUAAAGUGUUAGAAACACACAAGUCUCCACAGAGAUUUAAGAAAGACUUUUGUUGCGCUGACUUCAUCCUUUUCCUUUGACAGCCAUCUCUGAAAUUCAGGCCUAGAAAGUGUCUAAAAUACAACACAUUAUUAUUUAUAUUCAUUGUAGAUAUAAUAGAAAUGUGCUUUAAAUUAAUUAAAAUGUGUAAUAUAAUAGCAACUAAUAUACUUCCCUAUAGAUUUUGGAAGUAAUUUAAAAAUGUAAAACCCAACUGGCCCCAAUUGAAAGCACAUGGUUAAGCUGCUGACAUCAAAAGCAGAAAAUGUCAGACAUGGUGGAGAUGAAGAGAAAAUGAUGAGGCUUCCAGGGAUUAGCCAGAUCGGUGAGUUACCUGCAGAGAAAUAGGGGCAGCAAGUGGUACACAGCAACAAGACUUAACAGCGACAGCAAUGACCAGAAAACGUCAAAUUCAUAUUGCUCUAUUUUAGACGUCCUGAUUAUACCCAAAUUAUCCAUCUGGUUUUGGUUAAUACUGAAAUACCAGCACAAGAUCUUUAGAAAAUUAAACAGUAGUUCCCUUUCCUAUUCAAUGUAAGAAAACAUUCAUAAAAUUUGCACUAGAAAAGUAUAUUCUAAUAAUUAGGAUAAAUAUUCAUUUAAAAUAAAUGCAAAAUCUUUAAUGAACAAUGAAGUAUUUGCUGCCUUUUUACUCUUCUACUCAACUCUGCCUUGCAGGGGCAGACAGCAUCUUUCCUACCUUCACUUGAAACUGAUACAGGCGGAUGCAGUAAACAUGGACAUUUAGGGAAGAAGAUGCCCCACAAAAGACGUCAGGCUGAACCUAGAUGGAAUGGACUUUUCACUUCAUAGAAGGCUCCAGUGGCAAUAUUUCUGAAGAUUCCUGGUUCCAGUGUCGUACCGGGGCUAUAGGUUCCCUCCUGGCCCAGGUGCAGUGCCCUCUCAGUUAUUGAGUAAAGUUUGAUUAAAAUAACCUGCUUU